GCUCCAGUGGUGCAAUCGGUCAGCGCGCGGUACUUAUAAUGCCGAGGUUGUGAGUUGGAGCCUCACCUGGAGCA